rnacentral:rRNA from 1 species
UUUUGUUAUGUUGGUGUAUGUCUGAUUUAAUAUUAUUGCUUAAUGGUUAAAGUUUGUGUAUAUUUAUUUAAGUCAAGUCUAUGUGCUGCUUAUAAAAGUAUUCAUGCGCUACUUUAAUAAUAUGUUAGAUGAAAUAUUAAUUGAUUUAGGACUUAAUAGUAAUGUUUAAUUAGUUUGUAAAUGUGAAUAUAGUUUAGCUCAGGUACACACCGCCCGUCACCCUCGGUU